rnacentral:rRNA from 1 species
AAGAACGCAGCGAAAUGCGAUACGUAGUGUGAAUUGCAGAAUUCCGCGAAUCAUCGAGUCUUUGAACGCAAGUUGCGCCCGAGGCUUGUCCAAGGGCAUUUCCGCUAGAGCGUCACCGCGACCCCCCACCGACCCACUCCCAAGGGUGGUCGAGUGAAAGUGGCCAUCCCGGUGGUCUCCUCCUUCUCCUUCGUCGAAGGAGGAGGAAGGCCUGGCUGAAGGGUUGGCUGAAAUGGAAGGUAUCGGGCCGCCGUGGUGGCAAACAGUCCGCGAUCGGGUGAUCCGAGCUCCUCCGGGAGCCCGGAAUUUUCUAAGUGCGUGGCUGCUUCCCCCAGUCGGUUGCGAGUUGCCUCUUGCAGGUCGAGCGCGCCCCCAGCGGCGCGCGUCACGCAUCAGACCUCUAAUCGGAAAAGACUACCCGCUGAGUUUAAGCAUAUCAAUAAGC